GAAUAUAAAAGCCCACAGCUGACCCGCUAUUUCAUUUAUUCGGAAAUAUUACCGGUGUGUUAACGUGCCAGUAGCAAAUCAAAUAUUUAAAAAUCCUCCUAAAUUGUUUAAAUAAGUUGGAAAUGGUGAAUGUACCAAAUGUUAUGUUGAAUAGUGGUCAUCCCAUGCCUAUUUUAGGGCUGGGAACUUGGGGUAGUCCCAAGGGUGAAGUAGCCCAAGCUGUAAAAGAUGCCAUUGAUAUUGGUUAUCGUCACAUUGACUGUGCCCAUGUCUAUCAAAACGAACAUGAGGUGGGCGAAGGUAUUGAGGCUAAAAUUAAUGAAGGUGUGGUAAAACGUGAGAAUCUCUUCAUUACGAGUAAAUUAUGGAAUACCUAUCACAGUCCUGCCUUGGUGCGUGGUGCUUGUGAGACCACCUUGAAAAAUUUGAAAUUAUCCUAUAUCGAUAUGUACCUGAUUCACUGGCCCAUGGGCUACAAGGAAGGCGGUGAAUUGUUUCCCGUCGAUGCCAAUGGCAAAACUGCUUACUCCGACGCUGAUUAUGUUGAUACCUGGAAGGAAAUGGAAAAAUUGGUUCAAGAUGGUUUGGUUAAAUCCAUUGGUGUUUCGAACUUCAAUAAGAAACAAAUUGAACGUGUAUUGGCUGUAGCCACCAUACCACCAGCAAACAAUCAAGUUGAAUGCCAUCCCUAUUUGACACAAAAGAAAUUAAUGGAAUUUUGCAAAUCGAAAAACAUAGCCAUUACUGCUUAUAGCCCUUUGGGUUCACCCAAUCGUCCAAUGGCUCAACCAGGCGAGCCUGUGUUGAUGGAAGAUCCUAAGAUUGUUUCCAUUGCUACAAAAUAUUCUAAAACUCCUGCUCAAAUUCUGAUUCGUUAUCAGAUUCAACGUGGCAACAUUGUCAUACCCAAAUCGGUUAAUAAGGGGCGCAUUGCUUCUAACUUUGAUGUAUUCGGAUUUGAUUUGACCGCUGAGGAUGUGGCCAACAUAGAUAGCUUCGAUUGCAAUGGACGCUUGCUACAUUUAACAUCCGAUGCUGGACCGCAUCCUCAUUAUCCUUUCAAUGAUGAGUUCUAAAGCAACUCUAUCUAUAUAUACAUGUAUAGUAUAUUACGAAACAUCCUUAUUAAGAAAGGUGUAAAAGAUCAUCCCCACCAUCCGUUUGCAAACGAUGACUAGAAUAAAUCCCAGUUACUACAAGCUUUUGCUGGCAAAGCCUUAAAUGUUUUUUCUAUCAAUGUAUACAAGCUGACUUUUUUGUAAAUGUAAAAGCCUAACCUUUAAAAAAACUGUUUUUGAUAGAUUUACCCAAUUUUGGAGUAAGAAACCUUAAGGAAGUUUUUAUGGAUUUCGCCAUUUACAUAAGCACCCUUAGUAGUCUUUAGAUUUGUAUCACCAUUGUGUCCCAUAUUUUUUUUAAGAAUAAUUUAAAAUCGUUGCUUGAAUAAAUAUGUAAAGGCAAAAUAA